rnacentral:rRNA from 1 species
GUAGGGUGCGAGCGUUAUCCGGAAUCAUUGGGCGUAAAGAGCUCGUAGGCGGUUCAGCAAGUCGGCUGUGAAAUUCCGAGGGCUCAACCUCGGAACUGCAGUCGAUACUGCUGUGACUCGAGUCCGGUAGAGGAGAAUGGAAUUCAGGGUGUAGCGGUGAAAUGCGCAGAUAUCCUGAGGAACACCAGUAGCGAAGGCGGUUCUCUGGGCCGGUACUGACGCUGAGGAGCGAAAGCGUGGGUAGCAAACAGGAUUAGAUACCCUGGUAGUCCACGCCGUAAACGUUGGACACUAGGUGUGGCGUUCCGACCAACGGGUGCCGUGCCGAAGCUAACGCAUUAAGUGUCCCGCCUGGGGAGUACGGCCGCAAGGCUA